CUCAUAGGACUUCUCUUCACAAUCUGAGGAGCUACUGCCUGGAUGCUCUCCAAUGGAGAGAUGCCACUUUUCCUGGGCACCCUUUCUUCUGCAGCCACUCUCUUACUGAGGACCUUGGUGCCACAAAGUAGCCAUAGGGGUGGGGCUGUGAAGGUCAAGGUCAUCUUGAAACCCUGCUCUCAUCCCAGCAACUUUGUGAGUGUUGUGUACCUCCCUCUCCUGAUGAAGGUCAAAGUGUCACGGCCACUUUCAAGGAGCAAAUGAAUCUGAGGGCCUCCUAUGUCUGAGGUCGCAGUUGCUUGACUUGAGGACUCUUGCCUGUCCAUAUCCUGACAGUUGGAAGCUCCCUUGCUUGGAUAACUGCCUCUCAUGCUGUUUUAUUUUAUGAAGUCAAGACCAUUGAUAAAACCCAGACAGUUUGCAGAAGGGCCUAGGGAAGGUCAUUCCUCUGGACCCUUGGCUGCACCUUCUCCGACAACAGAUGAAUUCACCAGAUGUGUCAGAAGCGGCUCUCUUUUCCUCAUGCAAGAUGAACACACCCUUUGUUUGAUGAGCCUCCGAGAGCUUAAAGCUGCAUUGUUUUCAUCUGUACACCAAAGAUAACGCUGUCCAUUUCGUUGAUUUCUUGGGAGCAUCCAUCACAUGGAAAGUACCUAGACCAUCAGGUAAGAGCAAGGAGCAUGGAGAAGACAGGGGCCAACACCUGGGAACACCCGCAAGUUCAUCUACAGUAAUGUGGGUGAGAGAAACCCAGCAAGUCCCACGUACACAGAGACAGCAGAGCAAUUCCUGGCUUCCAACAAUGGUUAUUUCCCCGAACUUGCUGACUACACAGCACCACCUAGGGGCGGAGCACGCUUGGAGCCGACAGUGGUCCCUGCAAGGCCAGCUAACUGCACAGUGCCUCUGUCUCUUUUGGCCCUUC
rnacentral:lncRNA from 1 species